AAAAUAAUAAAUAAAAUAUAACAAAAAAACUUGGACUUGGACCUCUCUCAUUUGAGUCCACAAAGCCAUGAAAAUCAGGUUAUAAAAGAGGGAGAUCAGACAGAAAAAGGAAGAGAAGCAAAAUACUCUGAGGUUUCCUUGAAACAAAACCCUUGACAAAACCUGGAGAGAAACCUGACAGAGAACUCAGAGCAACCCCCAGGCAGCUCUGAAAAAUUCAAUCUGACUCACACACUUUCAUCUCACGCAAA
rnacentral:lncRNA from 1 species